rnacentral:lncRNA from 10 species
CUUCCUUCAGCUCUCUGGUUGGGUGACUUUUCUGCUGGGAAGGCUUCCCUGACCCUCUUCUUGCCUCCCAAGUUUAGGAAAUUUGUAACCUCCCACAUAUUCAUGCACAUCACCUACCAUCACAUUUAUCUCAUUUCACUAUAAUUGCAUGUUUGCUUAUUUUUAUACAGUUGCAGUGUCAACUCUGGAAAGGCAUAAUCUGUAACUACUUUGUUGAUCAUUGCAACUGCAUGUAGAAGCCACUCCUUAUAUAAGUAUUGAGUAAUUACAUUGCUCAGAAUUCUCCCUCCAACUCCUCUCACCCUUGCCAGCCCUGUUCUCAAAUAAAAUGCAGCAACAUCCUUUGUAAAAGCAAUUCUCAAAACUAAACUGGCCUUGUAUACAGUUAAGAGUCCUCUGUUAUUUAUUUUUUUUCCUUUUUAUACUACCUGGAUGUGUCUUAGCCUCUCCACCCUUUCCCCGCAUUGAGCAAGUUGACUGCUAUAAACAAGAUGUUUCUGUUUUAUAUUCCGGAAUGCACAACAACUGAAGCAAAGGCAAGGUGACUUUGCUGUAACUCAGCAGUCUUUUUAAAAUGUUAUUUUCCCCCCUUCGUAGGUCCUCAGAACACUGCCAUUAAGGGCUUCGAGGUGAAGAUACAUUAGAUUAAAAAUAUGGCAGACAGGGACCCUGAAGCACUUUAAGAAAGCUUGGUCUGCAGGAAAUCCUCAUCUUGGCUCCAAUCAUCAGAAAACUUGAUCUUUACCAGAGGGAAUGACUUCCUUACCUACCUUCUGUGCCAGUCACCCAGUCACGUUUUCUUCUUUGGAUGUACUACUGCCAGUGAAAUGAAGUGAUGUGUGACAGAUAUCUAGAAAGCUGAAGUGUCCCACUCCACUGGCUCUCACACCGUACCCAUUUAGUAGAGUGUCUUACAUUCCCAUAAAAAUAUUUUUUUUUCUCUAUUCUUUCUUCUGAGCUUUGGGGUUGGACCACACUCAAUUGACAAUAAUCAAUAAUUUUGGAUCCACUAAAUGGCAGUAUGCUAUAUGUUAAACUAAUACUUGAGGGGGGAAUAGCAUGGUGGCUCAUGCCUGUAAUCCCAGCACUUUGGGAGGCUGAGGCAGGCAUAUCACCUGAGGUCAGGAGUUCAAGACCAGGCUGGCCAACAUGGUGAAACCCCG